rnacentral:piRNA from 1 species
UAGAUGUCACUACCAAGAGGAAAGCUACUU